AAGUCUGACGGAGCAACGCCGCGUGAACGAUGAAGGCUUUCGGGUCGUAAAGUUCUGUUGUCAGGGAAGAACAAGUACCGGAGUAACUGCCGGUACCUUGACGGUACCUGACCAGAAAGCCACGGCUAACUACAUG
rnacentral:rRNA from 1 species